rnacentral:lncRNA from 1 species
CACCUGGACCCUAGUCAGAGGGCUCUGUAUAGAGAUGUGAUGCUGGAGAACUACAGCAACCUUGUCUCAGUGGGGUAUUGUGCUCACAAACCAGAGGUGAUCUUCAGGCUGGAACAAGGAGAAGAACCAUGGAGACUGGAGGAAGAAUUCCCAAGCCAGAGCUUUCCAGAAGUCUGGACAGCUGAUCACCUGAAAGAGAGGAGCCAAGAAAAUCAAUCUAAACAUUUGUGGGAAGUUGUAUUCAUCAAUAAUGAAAUGCUGACUAAGGAACAAGGCCCCUGAGGUGUUCAUGCACUGAUCCUGGACCUUGGAUUAAACCCUUGCAGUGCUGGAAGAAGAGGACUCUGCACUGCCUGCCACACCAGGACUGGAAGAUCAAUGGCCUUCCCUUCUUCCAAACUACCUUCCCAUGAGGUGGGGAUGGUGGUCACAUCUCCAACACUGGCGUGCUGUGGAAGAGACAUCAGCAUUCUCUGCAACAAAUUUGGAAACAGCCUAAAGAGACGUUUCUACUUCAAAGAGAUGCACUGAGGAAGUGCACUGGCACUGCUGGGGACUCACCUGGGGCCCAGGGCUGAGGCUUCUCGUGUCCUUGGAGCUGCUGUCCUCCCGAGGAGCGUCCACACUGCAGCCAGCUCAGCCUCAGGUGUCCUAUCUGGUUUUGAAACCAAAUCUAAGUGGGAAAAGAAGAUUCAAGUUUUAUCCGA